rnacentral:lncRNA from 1 species
CACCCAGAGGCGGUCCUGUAGCUGGGCCGGCUUGGGGCUUGGUUCUAUGUCCCUGCGGGUCGGUGCGAGGGCGAAGAGGAACCUGUGGGCCUCAGGGGAUCCCGGGGGGCCAGACCAGUGUUCCCUAGUUGUGGGAGCAGACGCGUGGGCGCAUCGCGGGCGGGCAGGGCCUGAAGUGCAGCUAUGUUUCCAGUGUCCUCUGGGUGUUGCCAAGAGCAACAGGAAACGAAUAAAUCUCUGG